rnacentral:rRNA from 1 species
AGCGAACGCUGGCGGCAGGCCUAAUACAUGCAAGUCGAGCGCACCUUCGGGUGAGCGGCGGACGGGUGAGUAACGCGUGGGAACGUGCCCUUUGGUACGGAACAACUGAGGGAAACUUCAGCUAAUACCGUAUGUGCCCUUCGGGGGAAAGAUUUAUCGCCAUUGGAGCGGCCCGCGUUGGAUUAGGUAGUUGGUGAGGUAAAGGCUCACCAAGCCUACGAUCCAUAGCUGGUCUGAGAGGAUGAUCAGCCACACUGGGACUGAGACACGGCCCAGACUCCUACGGGAGGCAGCAGUAGGGAAUCUUGCGCAAUGGGCGAAAAGCCUGACGCAGCCAUGCCGCGUGAAUGAUGAAGGUCUUAGGAUUGUAAAAUUCUUUC